rnacentral:piRNA from 1 species
UCGGUGUAGUUUGAGGUAGGU